GUGAGCAUGAAAGUUUUGAAAUAUUUGGCUUUUUUAUGGCAACCAUUUUGUAUUGUUCUGACCGUGAGUGUAUUUAAUCUUGUGGCCUAAGACUUUUAAGUUGAUGUUACCCAUUGACGGCAUGCUGAGAUCAUUUGGAUAUAUCUGGAUGACGCACAUAGUAUAUUCCUUCGCAGGUUCUUGAGGACCACCUGAAGAAUUUUAAAGUCUUGGAGGGGAAGACGACGCCACCCAGCAUUGGCAAGGCCGCCGCUGUCGCUCGCAUCGUUACACCAACUACAAACACUGGAUAUGGAUAUGUUGACAAGGUUGCAGAAUGCAUGACUGUACAAGUAGGUGUCAUUAACUUUCUAUUGGAGACACAUGGAGGAACUAGCUUGCAAGGACAUGCAACAUGGUAUGUUCUGAUUCCUUAUUUGCAUAUUCGGUUCUUCCUUUUCUGAUGACAAAUAGUGGUAAACCUUUUUAUUUUGUCUUCAAACAUGCCUACAUAGUUUGAUGUUAGUUAUCCAAAAGGCUCCAAGUCAAUUCACAUUGUUCCAAUGGACAUCGUGGCACUAGUAGAAAAAGGGUCAAAUGUGCAACACAUUAGUCCCGGUUUGUAACAGAACCGACACUAAUGUGUCCAUUAGUGCCAGUUCCAACGACUAGGCG